UACGUAGGGGGCAAGCGUUAUCCGGAUUUACUGGGUGUAAAGGGCGUGUAGGCGGGAUGGUAAGUCAGAUGUGAAAACUAUGGGCUCAACCCAUAGCCUGCAUUUGAAACUAUCGUUCUUGAGUGUUGGAGAGGCAGGCGGAAUUCCGUGUGUAGCGGUGAAAUGCGUAGAUAUACGGAGGAACACCAGCGGCGAAGGCGGCUUACUGGAUCGUGACUGACGUUGAGGCUCGAAAGCGUGGGGAGCAAACAGG
rnacentral:rRNA from 1 species